rnacentral:lncRNA from 1 species
UUUUUUGUUAAUCCAGGCUUAGUUGUACAAUAAGAAACCUUCCAAGCUGCAGACUUUAUUCAAAACCAGAAGCGUUCCCAGACUAAAUUUGGUAUUUAUGAAGUUGCAAAGCACACACUUUUAUAACAUUCCAGAACUUCAUUUCAAUCUCCACCUUAAAAGGAUAUUAACUGGACAAUUAAAAGAAAAGCUAUUUACCCAGACAUUAACACUUCUGUCCACAGGAUUUGCAGGUGGUUCUGCCUGAUGGUUUCCAGUACAUCUGCGAUUACUACUGACCCAGUUUUGGAGGCAUGUUGAGACAUGAUCUUAAACAUUAUCAAGCAGCAAACUAUUCUGAUAGCAAGAUAAAAAGAGAUGUCCAUGAUUAGAACUUGUUUUAAAAAUAAAUGUGCCAUUAAGUAUAUCAUUAUUAGCACAUUAGUGUGUUAAAUUACAGCAGAUAUUUCAGUGCAUGAUACAGCAAUACCUUAUAGUUAUAUCCACUAAUGUUAUCCCUGUGUUUCCUCUUUUAAGACCUUAUUUUAGAAAUGACUUAUGCUGAAACGUUUUUAUUUAUUCUGUCAGAUAGUGUCAGAUACUUUAGGCCACCUUUUCAGAUGCUCUGAACAUCAGAGCAUUUCCUGCUUGACCGAGAUAAGAAGUUUAGAUGCUUAAGUUAUGGGAGAGAAAUCUUGGGCAACAUAAACCCCAGCAACUCUCCCCUCUCCCUCACAGGCACAAAACCCCAUUAAAGUUAAAAUCCCUACAACCUCACAGCAAGACAGUGUGUCGCAUUUUCCAUGACUCCUAAAGAAAAACUCAGCUAUGAGCAUUCCUAUUCCUCUCUCAUGGGCAGAUGAGCAGACAGAAUUGAAAUAAGAGUUUAUUUCCCUAAUAGAAAAGACUUCUCCAGAACUCAGCGAUAAUUUAAAAAUGAUGGAAGUUGUGAAACUAAAAAAUGCCUGCAGGCUGGCUUUUCUUUCUUUACAAUACAAAAACUUCUAUUUGUCCUUAUAGAGGAAGGGAAUGGCCCUACUGGAAACAAAACCAAAUGGUUCUAUUUUAAUUUGCCUACCAUUUCAGCCACUAAUGAUACAGCCUUAAAUGCCUGGUCAGCAGGGAAUCAUUAGUAGAGACUUCUGUAUCAAAAUGAAUUUGAUUUUAACAGGCAGGAGAACAUGAUGAACUAAGGAAUCUCUUAAGAUAUCUUGUAUUUUUCCUUUAAGACAAAGAUA